rnacentral:rRNA from 1 species
GAUGAACGCUGGCGGCGUGCCUAAUACAUGCAAGUCGAGCGAACGGACGAGAAGCUUGCUUCUCUGAUGUUAGCGGCGGACGGGUGAGUAACACGUGGAUAACCUACCUAUAAGACUGGGAUAACUUCGGGAAACCGGAUCUAAUCCCGGAUAAUAUCUUGCACCGCAUGGUUCAAAAGUGAAAGACGGUCUUGCUGUCACUUCUCGAUGGAUCCGGGCUGCAUUAGCUAGUUGGUAAGGUAACGGCUUACCAAGGCGACGAUGCGUAGCCGAACUGAGAGGGUGAUCGGCCACACGGGAACGUGGACACGGACCAGAGUCCUGCGGGAGGCAGCAGAAGGGAAUCUGCCGCAAUGGGCGAGAGCCUGACGGAGCAACGGCGCGUGAGUGAUGGCGGUCUUGGGAGCGUAAAACUCUGUUACUGGGGAAGAACAUAUGUGUAAGUAACUGUGGACAGCGUGACGGUACCUAGUCAGAAAGCCACGGCUAACUACGUG